ensembl:lncRNA novel transcript
UUUUCCAGAAAACGUCUCAAUCUAAUUUGUGUAGAGUCGCGUUGCGUGUGUGCACGUCUGUGUGUGUGCUUCAGUCACAGAAGGGGGUGAGAAGUGGGAAGAGGGGAUUUGCAUAGAACCUCCAAUUUUCCUUAUUUCCUAGGGAGUUGAUGAUUUCAGCCAAAUAUAAGUCUUAACGUUACAUCUGCAAUGGAAAAACAAGUCAAACUCAGCAAAAAGGAGCCCUGAAGAGACAGAGUUAAGUGCUUCCGUGAUGAGAGUAGAGUUGGCCUAUGCUGUCCCUCCCAGGACUCCUUUACCCAAGAGAAAGAGAGAGUGUGCAUCCAAAGGGGAGUGAAAAUAGAAUAUAAAUAGGGAAAAUAGAACCAUUCAGAGCAGUUCAGGGAUCUUUACUACUCUGACAUGGAAGGAAGAAGGAGGAGAAGAGAAAAGAUGAACGGACCUUGAACCUGGGAUAUCGCUCAUGUGACUGCUACAUUGGUAUUAAGAUACAGCAUUCAUGUGCCCUGGAAUGUUUUGUUCUAUUAGGUGCUACACCCAGUAGAACAGUGCUCCAUCCAAUGCAAUUUUCUGGAAUUUAAACAAUCCAGACCAGAAUUUUUCCUCCUUGGAGAUGGAAUGUCUUGCUCCAGAGGGAGGAGGAAGAAGAGAAAAGAGAAGUCUCAACCAGCCUCCUCUCUACCCCACACAGAGAAUAGAGAUGCAAAACUUCUCCCAUAGAGUGUUUCAGCUUCUUCCUCGUUCCUCUUGCUUCUUUUCUCUUGGGAUAAUGACUUGGGUUUGGCCAGUAUGUAAAGUUGACUUGUGGUACCUCUGGCUCUUCUCCAGGGGUGCUCACAGAAAUAACUACAGUGGACUAGAAUGAGAUGCUUGAAACCUUCCCCCGAGCCUAGCUCUGCAUUUAGGAGAACAGCACAGCGCACCAUGAUCUGAUAUAGGUAUAGGUGGGUGGGAGUCUCAGUCUGUAGUUCUAUAUCACCUAUUAAGAGACUGGAACCUGGUCCCAUGUUUUCUGCAGGAGGUUGAGCUCUUAACAAUGUGCCAAGCCAGCAGCUGUGCCCUAGAGUCUUGGCCUAAGACAAGCAAAUAAUUGUCAGAUGACUGAAUAGUUCUGUUUCCUUAUUAAAUCUUAGGUUUAGAAUUCCUUUCACAAUUAAAAAGAUUUGGACAACAACUUUAUAGGGCCAAUUCUUUUUAUUCCAGGUUAUCACAACAUCCUCAAAGAAAAAUGCAUCAUGAAUGGUCUUCAUACCAUCUAACAGAUCCAGUUUACCCUCAUUCCUGUGGCUUUGUUCUGGCUGCUACCUUCACUUGGCAUAUUUCUCCUCCCCUUCACCCUUCAAACCAUGUUUUCUUUCAAGGUCCCCUCAACCCUAAUGUGCACUGUGUCUUUCUGUCCACUCAAGUCCUGGCUGAUCUCUCCCUAUUCACACUUAUGCCACUAUUCUUUUCAGCUCUACCCAUGUGGCGCUUGCCAGAUGAUGUUACCUUUUUUGCUUUGGGAAUUUUGCUUUCCCAACUACAGCACAAGUAGGAGUG